AUCUAUUUCGGGCAGAACCUGCGCAUGUGCAAGGCUUCACAACACCAACCUCGCUCCAGCGGCAAGAUCACAAACAUGAUUGGUACAAUGUAUUCAUAACACAUCACAUGAUUGGUACAAUGCUGUUGAGAUGUGCA